GACGAACGCUGGCGGCGUGCUUAAUACAUGCAAGUCGAGCGAGGUCCAUCUGGUGGCAACACCAGUGAAGGCCGAGCGGCGAACGGGUGAGUAACACGUGAGCAACCUGCCCCGAAGUCUGGAAUAACAUCGGGAAACCGGUGCUAAUACCGGAUCGCCCCACCUGACCGCAUGAUCGGGUGAGGAAAGAUUUAUCGCUUCGGGGAGGGGCUCGCGGCCUAUCAGCAGUUGGUGGGGUAACGGCCUACCAAGGCAUCGACGGGUAGCUGGUCUGAGAGGACGACCAGCCACACUGGGACUGAGACACGGCCCAGACUCCUACGGGAGGCAGCAGUAGGGAAUCUUGCGCAAUGGGCGAAAGCCUGACGCAGCAACGCCGCGUGGGGGAU
rnacentral:rRNA from 1 species